rnacentral:piRNA from 1 species
UACUAGAGUGGAGUGCUUUGUGGAUAUU